CCUACCCCAGCCUUCAAUUUAGUCAUCUGCAGUUUGAAUGCCGAUAAGAUCCGGCGAAAAUCUGUCUGCUGGUGACGUAAAAGUCAACAAUUUCAUCAGAUAUGCUGCGCUAUGCAAAUUGGUUUUAGUUUUGAUCGUGGUUGUUCUCUAGCAAUACUUUGUCAUUUUGCUGGCUGAAAACGACGACGUGUUCCCUCAAUCGUUCCUGAAAUCCUUAAAGAAACAGUUCAAGUAUUCCCAAGGUUUGUCAAACUUCUAGAACGAGAACAGUCUUUUUCCCGCGAGUAAAUACCUGUUUCCUCGGAGGGUUUCUCUCUAAAACACCUCGAAGACAACAUCGAAGGUAAUUG